GCAGCGGCCAACAGCCAGCGGACCAGCGGUUAUGGCCAUGGGCCCUAGCGCCGGAGUUGGCGAACGUAAUAGCGACGGCGGCAAGCGAUGUGUACAGAGUACAGUUAUGGCCUUAUGGGGUGUUUGUGCUGGAGGUGGCGUGCGGCCGGAGACCCAUUGAAAAGUCGUCUGAUGACGAGCCGCUGCUGAUCGAUUGGCCGAUUGGGUGAAACCGUGAAAGAGAUUUAUGCGAAACAGUGAAAGGGAGGCUCAUCGAAGCGGACGAAGCCCCUGACUCGAGGAUUGCAGGGGAGUACAAGCCUACAAGGUGGAAGACACGGAGGAGGUGCUUAAGAUUGGGUUGGCUUGCUGCCAUCCUGACCCUGACGGUAAAUCGAUGGAGUGUUAUGCUUAUGUUUUACUUUUUUUUCUUUGUCAAAUGUGUGCCUAAUUACAUAGCUCGAUUUUUGCAGAAAACGCAUUUGUCUAGUUUCCGCAAAUCUUAUUUGAAGACAUCCUUUGUUACAGUCCAAAAACUGAUGCAUGUGAAGAAUGAUGCUAGAUGAUGUUGAAAGAAACCUGGCAAAGAUUGAUGCUAUAGAGUAUAGAGGCAUAUGAAUCUAUAUUAAGCUGCAAAAGCCUUGUACCAUGGCUUCAGCAAGCAAUGACCUCGGGACUUCAUAGACUUGCAUCGUUGAUCUCCGUGAGUAUGACAUUCCCUGUCACGGUCUUUUUGCCAUUGAUAAUGGUGAUUUAAAAUAUUUUCUAUUAAUUUUGGAGCUUAGAUUUCCUUUCACAGUUUCUAUGGUUUAUAAUGAACAAUAAUUUCGAUGAUUAUGAAUUGUCACAACUAAACUUCCUUUUAAAUUUCCAGAUGCUAAAUAUGAUAUAAUAACGAUGAUAUCAUACAUGAUGGAUCUCUCUCUCUCUC